rnacentral:rRNA from 1 species
UCCUACGGGACGCAGCAGUCGGGAAUAUUGCGCAAUGGAGGAAACUCUGACGCAGUGACGCCGCGUAUGGGAAGAAGGUUUUCGGAUUGUAAACCAUUGUCGUUAGGGAAGAAGAAGUGACAGUACCUAAGGAGGAAGCCCCGGCUAACUACGUGCCAGCAGCCGCGGUAAUACGUAGGGGGCAAGCGUUAUCCGGAAUUAUUGGGCGUAAAGAGUACGUAGGUGGCAACCUAAGCGCAGGGUUUAAGGCAAUGGCUCAACCAUUGUUCGCCCUGCGAACUGGGAUGCUUGAGUGCAGGAGAGGA